ensembl:snoRNA
AGAUCAUUUCAAAGAGGGCUUUUGGAGCUGUGAAACCAAGAGCUCUUAACUCUAUGACUAAAGGUUGAAGGUCUCCAUAGGAUGCCGUAGUCAUUAAAUAGUGCUGUUUUUCUGAGGAAAUAUAAGA